AAGAAAUUAGUUAAUUUAUAACCCUGACUUGUCAUGUCAGAAUAAUCUUCAAGAUAUUUCUUA
rnacentral:tRNA from 1 species